UGCUCUGCUGUCUGGUACCUACAUUUCAGCGCUCGUUCAGAUAAACCGCGUGCUUUGCUUGAAGUGCAUAACUGUCAUGUUGUCUUGUCUCUGUCCUUUCCCUUCACCCUGUCUCCCUCUGCUGGUCGUUGUUAUGUUACCUUUUCUCCCCCUCUUUUCCCCAGCUGUGCCUUGUCUCCUCCUAAUUACCCAUUCACCCUGUCUCCCUCUGCUGGUCGUUGUUAUGUUACCUUUUCUCCCCCUCUUUUCCCCAGCUGUGCCUUGUCUCCUCCUAAUUACCCAUUCACCCCGUUCCCCACCUGUUCCCUUUUCCCUCUGAUUAGGUCCCUAUAUCUGUCUCUGUUUCUGCUCCUGUCCUUGUCGGAUUCUUGUUUGUUUGUUUAUGUGUCUCAUGCCAGAACCAGACUAUCAUCGUGUGUGCUGCAACCUUGUCCUGUCCUGUCGGAAUCUACCUGUCCAUCUGAGCCCACGUAUGUUCGUCAUUAAAGUACUCUGUUUGUUAAUUCGCUUUUGGGUCCUCAUUCACGCACCAUAACAAUAACAUUGAACCUGUGUAGGCUGAGAAUGCAGUUGCUGUUUUUAAACUAACGUUUUUAUAUAGCCUAACUUUGAUAUUAACCGUUUGAUCAUGCUACCAAAAAAAAAAAAGCAGCAGCCGCUGAAGAAGUAACGGAUAUUUGGUUAGAUUUGUUAGUCAAUUUCAUUGUUAGAAUCCAGCAAAGCGCCUGAUGUGGCACGAAAAACUCCUCUUCAUCCACCCACGAUGGUGUUGGUUAAUGAAGCGCUGAAGGAGUUGGACUCUCAAAUCGUCUCAUCACAGACCAUUCGCGGCUACAUAACAGAGAAAUAUCCAUCUGUGGACCUGAUGAGGUUGAAGUACAUGACACGCAAGACCCUGAAAAUAGGAAUCAAGGGCGGGGUGUUGGUGAGGACAUCAACUCGAUAGCAAACGGCGCACAGGGGAGGUUUCGGGUAAGUGACCCAUUCAUGUCUAAAUCUUAUUCAAAGUAAAUGCCCAGUGUUUCCAGAUUUCUAUGAAAUAUGACCUAUAAUUUACAACAUGAGUGAAAUGGUUUUCCUUCCCAAAAAUUGUAAUUGAGUAUGUUAAAGCAGCAUUCCUGUUUGAAUAGUGUUUUUUAUUCAUAUAUUACUACAUUGGGCAAUUAAAUACAAUUUCCAGUGGCACACUGACUCACGUAAUGAUGAAGCCACCAUAGGCUACUACUCACGGUGAUGGCCAAUGCGCUCCUCUUGGCAAUAGCCUAUCUCAAGAUGAGCUACUUUGAAAAACAGUGCUGCUGGUCACUAAAAAUUGGAAGUUGACAAUUAUAUUGGUUCUAGAGACAGUCUUCUAUUUUUAGCAGUAGACAUUUGAUUUCCAAACUAUGUUUUUCAAACUAUGUAAUUUUUAUAUUGAAAUGUGCAAACAGACAGCUGCUACCAACUACAUAUCAUCCAUGGAUGGCAGUUCAGUUCAAAUCAGAACUGGCAGCCAUUGCUAGUGUACCCAUGAGUUUCCACUCAAAAUGGCAGGGUAAGAGGAUCCAAAAAUCGAUGUAUUAUGUCUAUGGCCACAACACAACAAGCUGUACAUUUUGGCAUGCAUGCUGCCCAAAUUGCAGCCUUCCAGACUGUAGGCAACCAGUAACUACCAAAAUAAAGGAAACAUUUGAAUAAAUGAUGGACAAUGUUUAUGGUGUGUGUCGGGUGCGUUUUCCUGUCAUGGUUUAGAUCAAUUUGUAGAAUUUAUGCCAAGGCGCAUUGAAGCUGUUCUUGCAGCUGGUGGAGGCCAAACACCCUUUUUAAGACACUUUGUUGGUGUUUUCUUUAUUUUGGCAGUUACCUGCAUGCUCUUGUGAUAAAAUUGAAUCCAGUUAUUUUUGAGAAGCUAUUGAUCCUCUGUGUCUAAAUAUGUUCUCUGGUGUAUUUUGAACAUUGAGAACAGGUUCCCUUGGUUGGUUAAAAAAUAAUUCAUUUGUUUGUUUGCCUCUUGGACCCAGCACCUGACUCACAUCAUUGACCAGUCACAUUUAGUUAUUAUGCAGUUUAUUUUUUCAGUUACCCAAACCUCUCCUCCCUCCAUCUGAUGAUUAGCAGAGUGGCAGUAGGAAGCUGUCUACACUCAUUGAGAGCAGGCUCCUGAAUCCUUCUGUGGUUUGCGGUUGCAGUAAAAAAUAAUACUACAUAUCUAAUAUGUACUGUAAAAUGUAUGUAUACAUUUGUGACCUUUUUUCUGCUUUCUGUGCCCAGGGGCUUCAGCCAAGAGAAGCACCUUUGUUAAUCCUGAUGGGGAAACGCGUUGAGAUUUUCCAGCUAAUUGUCUGAAAUAGGUUAAUUACUCAAGGCUUUGAUUGAGUGCACACUAGUGCCACCUGCUGGUCAUCGAAUUUAGAGCAGCCAAAUUAUUAUAGAUUAUGUCCCACACCCCAAAGAGUGUGUGUGCAGUGUAGCCUUUUUGUCUUCUACCAAUCAGGUGGUUGUUCGACGAAACAAAGCUUUUGAUGUCAUUUAUCACGUGCUUGUGAUAAGGUGAUAUGGGCAUCGACACACUACGAUUUCAACGCUUACCUCAGAGCACAGGCAUCAAACAUAACAUCACUAUACCGGAUGAGUCCACAACAUUAUUUGGGUACAAAUUAACAGAAUAUAUCUUUUUUUUAAAGUGAGAUCUCCACUGGACAGUUACUUUAAUAGGCUCCUUGUGGCAACUAGGCUUUGUUAACCCAAGUAAUUAAAUCAAGAAUAAUGUGAUCCAAGGUGAAUGGACUUUAUUUUCUGAAUUUGGUAGUAGCUUACCUGCCAAAUGAGCCAAACUUCAUGGUACCAGUUUUGAAUAAAAAGUGGUGUGUUUAUUAGAUAAGUCAACAUUAUAUGACAAACAUAUUGAUCAUGGGCUUGCUGUUUAAUAUAAUGUAGCUCAACGUGUGAUCACUCUCCCUUGCCAAUCUCUCUUCUCCUUAUUGUGUCCAUGAUUGUAUGCACUAUUUAGCGCGCACCACCGCUAACUAAGCUAGCGUUUCACAUCCGUUACACAUGCAUACACACACAUCACUAACUCUUGUCUCUAGAAGCUGAGAAGAAAAAGGUUACAGCCAAAAAGCAGCAGGAGAAACCUUCAGAGGCAAGUGUGGUUUCAGUUAUGUUCUGACUAUUGGCAUUGUUCAAGUGGUUUUGGGUUAUAGAGACUUUUUUUUACACUUUUGUCAUGGGUACUGUUCCCUAUUUGGGCUUUACCAUGGUUGAAUUGAAUCUCAUAUUGAAUCUCAUGUUUUAAAUGCUGCCACAAACUAGCAGCAUUGCAAACCUGUCAUUUUCAUCUUUCAGGAUGAAAACUCAGGAAGCCCGCAAAAGCAUCUGCUUCCAAGGUGGCCCCUGCUAAGAAGCUCAAGUCAAAGAGGACAAAGGGGCAGAGAGGACAGCUGAGGAUCAACCCAAAGCACAGAAGACUACCAAGGGUGAAGGGGCAGCCAAGAAGGGUGCAAAGGCCCAAGCUUUCCAGAAGCCUGUAGAGGGUGAUGAAGGGGACACUGCUGCUCCUGAAGCUAAAACCACAGGGAAACGAGGCAAGAGGGCAGCAGCAGAGUGACUGCACUCCUUUUAUCCACUUUGUAUGUUUUUAAAUAAAGCAGUUUUUUGUACUACUUGUUUGUGGCAUUUAAGUGUAGACCUAGCUGCUGUAAAAUGUAAUCUCCACUUUUCCUGUAGAUAAGUGUUGGUGGUUGCUAGGGGUUUGUAAAGAUGUUUAAUGAUUCACUGAUGCAAGUUUAUAUAUACAAAAAAUAUAUAUAUAUAUACACAGUAUGUAUGUAUGUAUAUAUAUAUAUAUAUAUAUAUAUAAAGCUGUUAAGUUCUUGUUUCUUGCACCUGCUUAAUCAGUACCCUCUUCUGCCAGAUUAAUUGUAUCACUAGUACAGUGACUUCACGGUUCCUGGAAAAUAUUGAUGGUUGAUGGUUGUUUUCUACACAGUCAGGACUUUGUUGUUCAUCCAUCAUAGGUUGAUGACCAUGGCACGAUUCGUUGGGGAAAUCUGAUACAGUGAGUGUGCCGAUGGUUGAGAUCCAUCUGAGCCUGGAACACACUGGACAUGAUAUCGUGGUACCAGUCUCCUGAGGGACGACCCUGAUAAUGGU
rnacentral:lncRNA from 13 species